GGUAGUAGCAAAUAUUCAAAUGAGAACUUUGAAGGCUGAAGAGGGGAAAGGUUCCAUGUGACGACACUUGCACAUGGGUUAGUCGAUCCUAAGGGACGGGGGAAGCCCGUAUGAUAUCACUUUCAGUGCGUACUCCGAAAGGAAAUCGGGUUAAAAUUCCUGAACCGGGACGUGGCGGUUGACGACAAUGUUAGGGAGUCCGGAGACGUCGGCAGGGCCCCCGGAAAGAGUUAUCUUUUCUGUUUAACAACUUAGUCGCCUUGGAAACGGCUCAGCCGGAGGUAGGGUCCAACGGCUGGAAGAGCACCGCAUGUCGCAUGGUGUCCGGUGCGCCCCAGCGGCCCUUGAAAAUCCGGAGGACCGAGUGCCUCCCACGCCCCGUCGUACUCAUAACCGCAUCAGGUCUCCAAGGUGAACAACCUCUGGUC
rfam:Vigna angularis cultivar Jingnong 6 chromosome 9, whole genome shotgun sequence.